CGUAAAGCUCUGUCGUAUGGGAAUAAGAAAGUGAAUGUACCAUGCAAGAAAGGAUCGGCUAACUUCGUGCCAGCAGCCGCGGUAAGACGAGGGAUCCUAGCGUUGUUCGGAAUCAUUGGGCGUAAAGCGGAUGUAGGUGGCUUUGUAAGUCAGGUGUGAAAGCCCCGGGCUCAACCCGGGAAGUGCAUUUGAUACUGCGAAGCUUGAGUGCUAGAGAGGUUACUAGAAUACCUGGUGUAGUGGUGAAAUACGUAGAUAUCAGGUGGAAUACCGGAGGCGAAGGCGGGUAACCAGCUAGACACUGACACUCAGAUCCGAAAGUGUGGGGAUCAAACAGGAUUAGAUACCCUGGUAGUCCACACCGUAAACGAUGGAUACUUGUUGUUGGAGGUAUUGACCCCUUCAGUGACGCAGUUAACACGGUAAGUAUCCCGCCUGGGGAGUACGGUCGCAAGAUUA
rnacentral:rRNA from 1 species